AGCGGAGUGGCCGAGAGUAGGCGGUAAACUGUAAAUUUACAUACGAAAUUAAUUUCCUCUGCUA
rnacentral:tRNA from 1 species